UACGUAGGGACCGAGCGUUGUCCGGAAUCAUUGGGCGUAAAGAGCGUGUAGGCGGCCCCUUAAGUCCUGCGUGAAAUCCUGCGGCUCAACCGCAGACGGUCGUGGGAAACUGGAGGGCUAGAGUGCGGGAGAGGAGAGUGGAAUUCCCGGUGUAGCGGUGAAAUGCGCAGAUAUCGGGAAGAACACCCGUGGCGAAGGCGGCUCUCUGGAACGCAACUGACGCUGAGACGCGAAAGCGUGGGGAGCAAACAGGAUUAGAAACCCUGGGAUA
rnacentral:rRNA from 1 species